rnacentral:rRNA from 1 species
UACAGAGGGUGCGAGCGUUAAUCGGAAUUACUGGGCGUAAAGCGUGCGUAGACGGUUAUUUAAGUCGGGUGUGCAAGCCCCGGGCUCAACCUGGGAAUUGCAUUCGAGACUGAAUAGCUAGGGUACGGUAGAGGGAAGUGGAAUUUCCGGUGUAGCGGUGAAAUGCGUAGAUAUCGGAAGGAACAUCAGUGGCGAAAGCGACUUCCUGGACCAGUACCGACGUUCAGGCACGAAAGCGUGGGGAGCAAACAGG